AUGACAUGCCAUCCUUCAGAAUGCAAUAUAUACGUUCUAUCAGAGAUCCCUGGGUCUCAGAUAGGAAAAGUACAUGGACUCAGGAACCAAGGAACGGAAGUGUCCCUUAACAUUAUUCCCACUGACCUUGCAGGGGACUUUAUGCUUACCAUCCUUCCAACUGUGGACUCUGCUGGGAUUAAAGAUUUUGGUUCCCAAAGAGGGUAUACUCUUGCCAGGGACACAGCAAGAGCUCUCACUGAAUUACAAAACUACCACUGCUACCACGGCGCUUUGAAUACCUUGUAUCCAGGGGCCAGCAGCCAGGAGAAUUCUCAAAUCUUUAUAAAUAAGCAAUCCAGGAGCCAGAGAAUCGUGAGAUCUCGUAUAAAUAAACCAUCCAGGGAAAACAUAGCCAGACUCCUUUUGGUAAACCUCCAUGCCUGGGGAUCCCCUGCCACCUGGAAAGCAGUUUCACUUGCCAUGCACAGCAUCAGUAGUUCCUACUGCUGCAGCAGACUCCGUUAGACCUGCCUGCUUCUUCAGCGGAUUGUUCAAUGCACGCCACCAGCUACCUGCUGUAAGCAUUCACACCUCUCUACCUGCCUGGCAGCCUUUCUCAGCUGAACACAGUCCAGACCAGAAGUGGCAGGGAGUGAAUGCCCUUGGAAGCAGCCUCUCUACCAAUGACAAAUGGAGCUGGUGGGUAAAUUCUCAGCUGCCUCCCCUCUCAGGUGGAACAGCCCUGAGAUACGCUCUAUGCAAUCUCUCACAAGUCCCCAGCAGGCUCAAGCUCCCAUUGGUCAACUCUGGUAACCUGUUCAUUGAUGCCCCCUGUCUUGCCUUCCCUUCCUGGUCUCACUUCCUCACUCUUAUUGUUGCCUCCUGAGAUCACAUCCAAAAUAAAUGACCUGUACCCAGAUCUGUGUCUCAGAGUCUGCUUCUGGGGGAAUUCAAAGUAAGAUAACUGUAGAGUGUUUUCAAGGCUGAGAGGCAAUACAUGGAC
ensembl:lncRNA